AAUUAAUUCUCGCUAUCUGCGAUGAACUUGGUAACAAUAUCACAAAGUCUUUGUCUGUCGAUCGCACGAAACAGUUCUGCGAGUUCCCAAAGAUUAUUUGGUCCAACAAAUAAUAGUUUCUCAAGGUGAAGAAAUAAUUUCAAAGUCGUGUCGAGCGACUCCAUUGUGCCGGCUGGAAUAACCGACGCUAACAUGAACUUGAGUUCUUCAAUAUCUUUCGAAGUAAGUCGGUGUGACAAUUUCAACAUGAACCGCCGAUACUUGAAGUCCGGUAUCGUUGAGUUCCGAUUCUGCAUUUGGAAAUCUUUCGUCGUAGGAGAUCUGGGGAUGUUUGAUUAUUUCAAAGGGAGAUGAG